rnacentral:rRNA from 1 species
UAGGGAAUCUUCCGCAAUGGGCGAAAGCCUGACGGAGCAACGCCGCGUGAGUGAUGAAGGUCUUCGGAUCGUAAAACUCUGUUAUUAGGGAAGAACAAAUGUGUAAGUAACUAUGCACGUCUUGACGGUACCUAAUCAGAAAGCCACGGCUAACUACGUGCCAGCAGCCGCGGUAAUACGUAGGUGGCAAGCGUUAUCCGGAAUUAUUGGGCGUAAAGCGCGCGUAGGCGGUUUUUUAAGUCUGAUGUGAAAGCCCACGGCUCAACCGUGGAGGGUCAUUGGAAUCUGGAAGACUGGAGUGCAGAAGAGGAACGUGGAAUUCCAUGUUUAGCGGUGAAAUGCGCAAGAAUAUGUAGGAACACCAGUGGCGAAGGCGACUUUCUGGUCUGUAACUGACGCUGAUGUGCGAAAGCAUGGGGAUCAAACAGG